CACCACCAUAUGAGUACAAGUCGCCGCCACCACCUUCCCCGUCUCCACCACCACCAUAUGAGUACAAAUCUCCUCCUCCACCAUCACCGUCACCUCCCCCCCCUUACCACCACUCCUCUCCACCACCACCUUCGCCAUCUCCUCCUCCACCUUACCACGACUCCUCUCCACCACCACCUUCGCCAUCUCCUCCUCCACCUUACCACGACUCCUCUCCACCACCACCUUCGCCAUCUCCUCCUCCACCUUACCACGACUCCUCUCCACCACCACCUUCGCCAUCUCCUCCUCCACCUUACCACGACUCCUCUCCACCACCACCUUCGCCAUCUCCUCCUCCACCUUACCACGACUCCUCUCCACCACCACCAUAUGAGUACAAAUCUCCUCCUCCACCAUCACCGUCACCUCCCCCACCUUACGAGUACAAGUCUCCUCCUCCUCCUUCACCGUCACCACCGCCACCAUACUACUACAAGUCACCGCCGCCACCAUCACCCUCUCCUCCUCCACCAUACUACUAUAAAUCUCCACCACCACCUUCUCCAUCUCCGCCGCCACCUUACCACUACUCUUCUCCACCACCACCUAAGAAAUCACCUCCACCACCAUACUACUACAAAUCUCCACCACCACCUUCGCCAUCUCCUCCUCCACCUUACCACUACUCCUCUCCACCACCACCUAAAAAAUCACCUCCACCACCAUACUACUAUAAGUCUCCACCACCACCUUCACCAUCUCCUCCACCACCGUACUACUAUAAGUCUCCGCCGCCACCAUCACCCUCUCCUCCACCACCAUACUAUUAU
rnacentral:lncRNA from 1 species